rnacentral:rRNA from 1 species
UACGUAGGCGGUUUAUUAAGUCAGAUGUGAAAGCCCCGGGCUUAACCUGGGAACUGCAUUUGAUACUGGUAAACUAGAGUAUGGUAGAGGGGGUAGAAUUCCUAGUGUAGCGGUGAAAUGCGUAGAUAUUAGGAGGAAUACCAGUGGCGAAGGCGGCCCCCCUGGACCAAUACUGACGCUGAGGUACGAAAGCGUGGGUAGCGAACA